AACGAACGCUGGCGGCGUGCUUAACUCAUGCAAGUCUAACGGGAAUGUCGGCUUCGGCUGACUAGUACCGUGGUGAACGGGUGAGUAACACGUGGGUAAUCUGCCCUCGAGCUCGGGAUAAACUUGCGAAAGCGAGGCUAAUACCGGAUAAGACCACGCCCUGCACGCCGGGUGCGGUAAAAGGUGGCCUCUUCUUGAACGCUAUCACUUGAGGAGGAGCCCACGGCCUAUGAGCUGGUUGGUAGGGUAACGGCCUACCAAGGCGACGAUGGGUAGCCGGCCUGAGAGGGUGUACGGCCACACUGGCACUGAGACACGGGCCAGACUCCUACGGGAGGCAGCAGUGGGGAAUUUUGCGCAAUGGGGGAAACCCUGACGCAGCGACGCCGCGUGAGUGAUGAAGGCCUUCGGGUUGUAAAGCUCUUUUAGUGGGGAAGAAGCCCUCCCUGGCUAAUAUCCAGGGGGUCUGACGGUACUCACAGAAAAAGUUCCGGCUAACUACGUGCCAGCAGCCGCAGUAAGAC
rnacentral:rRNA from 1 species